rnacentral:rRNA from 1 species
CUACACAUGCAGUCGAGCGGUACAGAGAGAGCUUGCUUCUUUGCUGACGAGCGGCGGACGGGUGAGUAACGCGUAGGAAUCUACCUAUUAGUGGGGGAUAAGCCAGAGAAAUUUGGUCUAAUACCGCAUACGCCCUACGGGGGAAAGGAGGGGAUCUUCGGACCUUUCGCUAUUAGAUGAGCCUGCGUAAGAUUAGCUAGUUGGUGAGGUAAUGGCUCACCAAGGCGACGAUCUUUAGCUGGUCUGAGAGGAUGAUCAGCCACACUGGGACUGAGACACGGCCCAGACUCCUACGGGAGGCAGCAGUGGGGAAUAUUGGACAAUGGGGGGAACCCUGAUCCAGCCAUGCCGCGUGUGUGAAGAAGGCCUUCGGGUUGUAAAGCACUUUCAGAUGUGAGGAAAGGUGAGUAGUUAAUACCUGCUUACUGUGACGUUAGCAUCAGAAGAAGGACCGGCUAACUCCGUGCCAGCAGCCGCGGUAAUACGGAGGGUCCGAGCGUUAAUCGGAAUUACUGGGCGUAAAGCGCGCGUAGGUGGUUUUGUCAGUCAGAUGUGAAAGCCCAGGGCUCAACCUUGGAACUGCACCUGAUACUGCAAGACUAGAGUACAGUGAGCGGAGUGGAAUUCCGGUGGUACGGUGAAUUGCUAAAGAUCGGAGGGACCCCAGGUGCGAAGGGGAUCCCUGGAUUGGAUACGACCUUGAGGUGGAAAGCGUGGGCGCAACCGGAUAAUACCUGUAUGCCGCCGUAAAGAGUA